rnacentral:hammerhead_ribozyme from 1 species
ACCCUGCUGACGAGGGCUAAAUAGAACGAAACCCGGGUCCAGGGU